rnacentral:sRNA from 1 species
GCCGGGUGUGGUGACGCACACUUGUAAUACCAGCAACUCACGAGGCUGAGGCAGGAGGAUCACAAGUUCCAAGGCAGUCUCAGCAACUUAGGGAGACCCUCAACAAUUUAGUGAGACCUUGUCUCAA